rnacentral:rRNA from 1 species
AAACUGAUCUCUCCGUGAAGAAGCGGGGAUACUCCUAUAAGACGAAAAGACCCCAUGGAGCUUCAAACCCAACUACACCCUUAACUACCACAACCGCACAACCUCUUAGGGCCCUGUAUAGUUGGUUUUAGGUUGGGGCGACCACGGAGUACAACCAAACCUCCGCAAUGGACGGGACCACUCCCUUAUCUAAGAGCCACACCUCUAAGAAUUAAAACACUAACAUAAAAUGAUCCAUGAUCUGAUCAAUGAACCAAGUUACCCUGGGGAUAACAGCGCAAUCCAUUUCAAGAGCCCUUAUCGACAAGUGGGUUUACGACCUCGAUGUUGGAUCAGGGUAUCCUAGUGGUGCAGCAGCUACUAAUGGUUCGUUUGUUCAACGAUUAAAACCCU